GCUGACCAUAUCACGUAGAAAGCACCGGUUCUCGUCCCACCACCGAAAUUAAGCAACAUCGAGCUUAAUUAGUACUUAGAUGGGUAACCGCUUGGGAAAACUAGGUGCUGUAAGCA
rnacentral:rRNA from 1 species